rnacentral:rRNA from 1 species
UACAGAGGGGGCAAGCGUUAUUCGGAAUUAUUGGGCGUAAAGGGCGCGUAGGCGGCUUGGCAAGUGGAUGGUGAAAUCCCUCGGCUUAACCGAGGAACUGCCGUCCAAACUGCUUAGCUUGAGACCGGGAGAGGUGAGUGGAAUUCCCAGUGUAGCGGUGAAAUGCGUAGAUAUUAGGAAGAACACCAGUGGCGAAGGCGGCUCACUGGAUCGGUACUGACGCUGAGGUGCGAAAGCGUGGGGAGCAAACAGG